GACAGAGGUGCCAAGCGUUAGGCGGAAUCACUGGGCUUAAAGCGUGUGUAGGCGGGCGAUCAAGUCGCUUGUGAAAUCCCACGGCUCAACCGUGGAACUGCUGGGUAUACUGGUUGUCUUGAGCCGGCUAGGGGCGAGCGGAACAGACGGUGGAGCGGUGAAAUGCGUAGAUAUCGUCUGGAACGCCGAAGGUGAAAACAGCUCGCUGGGGCCGCGCUGACGCUGAGACACGAAAGCCAGGGGAGCGAACGGG
rnacentral:rRNA from 1 species